rnacentral:tRNA from 1 species
GGGGUUGUGGCUCAGUGGUAGAGCACUCGUCUAGUGAAGGUGAGGCACUGGGUUCGAUCCUCAGCACCA